UACACUCCUGCGGGAGGCAGCAGUGGGGAAUAUUGGACAAUGGGCGCAAGCCUGAUCCAGCCAUGCCGCGUGAGUGAUGAAGGCCCUAGGGUUGUAAAGCUCUUUCACCGGUGAAGAUAAUGACGGUAACCGGAGAAGAAGCCCCGGCUAACUUCGUGCCAGCAGCCGCGGUAAUACGAAGGGGGCUAGCGUUGUUCGGAUUUACUGGGCGUAAAGCGCACGUAGGCGGACUAUUAAGUCAGGGGUGAAAUCCCGGGGCUCAACCCCGGAACUGCCUUUGAUACUGGUAGUCUUGAGUUCGAGGGAGGUGAGUGGAAUUCCGAGUGUAGAGGUGAAAUUCGUAGAUAUUCGGAGGAACACCAGUGGCGAAGGCGGCUCACUGGCUCGAUACUGACGCUGAGGUGCGAAAGCGUGGGGAGCAAACAGGAUUAGAUACCCGUGUAGUCCCAUG
rnacentral:rRNA from 1 species